AGAAUUGAAGCUGCAAUUCAAGAAUUCAUUGAAGAAUCAUGAUUCUACUUGUUUCUACCGUUUGUUUUUGCAAGAAAAGGUGAUAGUUCGCGUUCCCGGUGGGAUAUCAAGAAGAAGUGCAUUUUUGUUGAACUCGAAAGAAAUCGAGGUUGAGCGGCGAUGGGCGGUCGGUGGUGUUGA